AAUCAACGCUGGCGGCGUGCCUAACACAUGCAAGUCGAACGAGAAGGUGACUUCGGUCACUGGAUAGUGGCGUCCGGGUGAGUAACACGUAGGUAAUCUACCUUCGGGUGGGGAAUAACGUCUCGAAAGAGACGCUAAUACCGCAUAAUGCAGCGGCACCUAAUGGUGAUUAGUUGUUAAAGCGGGGGAGUCUUCGGACCUCGCGCCUGAAGAGGAGCCUGCGGCAGAUUAGCUAGUUGGUGAGGUAAUGGCUCACCAAGGCUUCGAUCUGUAGCUGGUCUGAGAGGACGGCCAGCCACACUGGCACUGACACACGGGCCAGACUCCUACGGGAGGCAGCAGUGGGGAAUUUUGGGCAAUGGGCGAAAGCCUGACCCAGCAACGCCGCGUGAAGGAGGAAAUCCUUCGGGAUGUAAACUUCAUAAGUAAGGGAAGAAAGCUGCGGAUCGAAUAAGUCCGCAGGUCCGACGGUACCUUACG
rnacentral:rRNA from 1 species